CUCUCCCAUUCCCUCCCUGUCCCUUGGUGCACCCCACACCCCUUUAGUGGUCACACUCCCCUUCCUGGUGUGCCUCCUACCUCUAUUGUUGUAUUGCCGAGUGGAGCAGAUCCCCUAAAGGAGCUUCAGUUUUCUGUACCCGGCCGGACUGACAGGGAGUGCUCUCUCUGUGAGCACCUCCUGUCAGUCUGGCCAGGUACAGGAAACAGAAGCUCCUGUACCGCGCUCUGCUCCACUACACUCUGUACACACUGACAGUC